rnacentral:rRNA from 1 species
GACGAACGCUGGCGGCGUGCCUAACACAUGCAAGUCGAACGGAACUGUUUUGAAAGAUUUCUUCGGAAUGAAUUUGAUUUAGUUUAGUGGCGGACGGGUGAGUAACGCGUGAGUAACCUGCCUUCAAGAGGGGAAUAACAUUCUGAAAAGAAUGCUAAUACCGCAUGACAUAUCGGAACCACAUGGUUUUGAUAUCAAAGAUUUUAUCGCUUGAAGAUGGACUCGCGUCCGAUUAGUUAGUUGGUGAGGUAACGGCUCACCAAGACCGCGAUCGGUAGCCGGACUGACAGGUUGAACGGCCACAUUGAGACUGAGACACGGCCCAGACUCCUACGGGAGGCAGCAGUGGGGGAUAUUGCGCAAUGGGGGCAACCCUGACGCAGCAACGCCGCGUGAAGGAUGAAGGUUUUCGGAUUGUAAACUUCUUUUAUUAAGGACGAAAAAUGACGGUACUUAAUGAAUAAGCUCCGGCUAACUACGUG